AUCUUCUAAUCUUUUAAUUUUGUCAGUACCAGCAUUCUGCUCUGAAUCCAUUGAGGCUGCCAUCAGUUAUCAGAGACCUGGGUCUCAAAAUUCACUGCUGCCAGAUCAUCUAAAAAUAUCCAGCAGUCUUUGGUUUUUAAAACCAGACAAUUUUGACUGCGUCAUGUACAGAUCAGAGCCACCAGGUGAACAGAAGUCUGUCUAAGUGGAUGAGCAGUGGAGAAAAGGCAAACUGAUCUUGUUAUUUUCAGACUUCCCAAGAGACCUAUUAACAACAGAUUUUUAUGGAAAAGAAGCAUGGUUAAACUGGUGAAAAUAACUGUGCACAAGUCAUAAUGAGAAACAAAAAAAAUACUUAAUGUGAGAUGUGAAGGACCCUGAGGUCAGGACCUGGCAGGCUGUACAGAAGCUGCUUGACAGGUACUGUGUUUGAAAAUGAAAAUUCAUAUUUA